rnacentral:rRNA from 1 species
GAUGAACGCUGGCGGCGUGCCUAAUACAUGCAAGUCGAGCGAAUGGAUUAAGAGCUUGCUCUUAUGAAGUUAGCGGCGGACGGGUGGGUAACACGUGGGUAACCUGCCCAUAAGACUGGGAUAACUCCGGGAAACCGGGGCUAAUACCGGAUAAUAUUUUGAACUGCAUGGUUCAAAAUUGAAAGGCGGCUUCGGCUGUCACUUAUGGAUGGACCCGCGUCGCAUUAGCUAGUUGGUGAGGUAACGGCUCACCAAGGCAACGAUGCGUAGCCGACCUGAGAGGGUGAUCGGCCACACUGGGACUGAGACACGGCCCAGACUCCUACGGGAGGCAGCAGUAGGGAAUCUUCCGCAAUGGACGAAAGUCUGACGGAGCAACGCCGCGUGAGUGAUGAAGGCUUUCGGGCCGUAAAACUCUGUUGUUAGGGAAGAACAAGUGCUAGUUGAAUAAGCUGGCACCUUGACGGUACCUAACCAGAAAGCCACGGCUAACUACGUGCCAGCAGCCGCGGUAA